UGCUGGCUUAGGUUCUAUACAGAGCUGUCUUUACAUUGCAUUUCUUUCUUUUUGAUAGUCUAGCUCCACAGUGAGAGCCUAUCAAACCAGUAAAUCUCGAGUGACCAUGAGCCCUGGCUUCAGCUCCCAAUGGAACAGCAGCCAACCCGCCUGGAAUACGUACUCCUUUCCAAGAGCAAGCUUGCACUAUCAAUCCCACGCCAGCUAUACCUACUGCACUGGGCACCCUGCUGGAACUACAUCAAAUUUCCAACAACUUCCUAUGACCUGAGAGCCAUGAAGUGUCUGGGGAUCAUGUUCACGGAUUUUUUCACUGGGCUUUUGAAGGAUGGUUGAGAAGGGUCUUUGGAAGGGAUGAUGCUAAAGCUGAAACUCCAGUACUUUGACCACCUCAUGUGAAGAGUUGACUCAUUGGAAAAGACUCUGAUGCUGGGAAGGAUUGGGGGCAGGAGGAGAAGGGGAUGACAGAGGAUGAGAUGGCUGGAUGGCAUCACUGACUCGAUGGACGUGAGUCUGAGUGAACUCCGGGAGUUGGCGAUAGACAGGGUGGCCUGGCAUGCUGCGAUUCAUGGGGUCGCAAAGAGUUGGACACGACUGAGCUACUGAACUGAACUGAACUGAACUGAGAGGGGUUACACAUUCAGUGCAGUGGGUUGCUAUGUACCCCAUUCUAGUAGCUUCUUUUUCAGCCUUUCUCUGAAUGAUCUAUGGAGCCACCAAUAAGUUCUCUUGGGAAGAACAAGGAUGCAUUUACUCAGGUCCUCUUGGAACCUCAAAUUUUAUCCCAGACAAGUCCAUAAAGGAAUUUGGAAGACAUGCAGUGUUAUCCCUGCAGGAAUUAUCUUGAGGUCAAAAUAAAUUUAACAGAGAUGGAAGCUUGUUAUGCUUA
rnacentral:lncRNA from 1 species